rnacentral:rRNA from 1 species
AUUGAACGCUGGCGGCAUGCUUUACACAUGCAAGUCGAACGGCAGCGCGGGGCAACCUGGCGGCGAGUGGCGAACGGGUGAGUAAUACAUCGGAACGUACCCAGAAGUGGGGGAUAACGUAGCGAAAGUUACGCUAAUACCGCAUACGUUCUACGGAAGAAAGUGGGGGAUCGCAAGACCUCAUGCUUUUGGAGCGGCCGAUGUCUGAUUAGCUAGUUGGUAGGGUAAAGACCUACCAAGGCGACGAUCAGUAGGUGGUCUGAGAGGACGACCCGCAUCACAGGGGGUACGAGACGUCCCGGACUCCUACGGGGGACAGCAGUGGGGAAUCUUGGACAAUCGGCGCAAGCCUGAUCCAGCAAUACCGCGUGAGUGAAGAAGGCGUUCGGGUUGUAAAGCUCUUUUGUCAGGAAAGAAACGGCUGAGGAUAAUACCUUUGGCUAAUGACGGUACCUGAAGAAUAAGCACCGGCUAAGUACGUGCCAGCCGCCGCAGUAA